UACGUAGGGUGCAAGCGUUGUCCGGAAUUAUUGGGCGUAAAGAGCUCGUAGGCGGUUUGUCGCGUCUGCUGUGAAAACUCAGGGCUUAACCCUGAGCCUGCAGUGGGUACGGGCAGACUAGAGUGUGGUAGGGGAGAUCGGAAUUCCUGGUGUAGCGGUGGAAUGCGUAGAUAUCGGUAGGAACACCAGUGGCGAAGGCGGUUUCCUGGAGCUAACUUGACGCUGAGACGCGAAAGCUGGGGGAGCAAACGGG
rnacentral:rRNA from 1 species